rnacentral:lncRNA from 1 species
GUGUGUGUGUGUGUGUGUGUGUGUGUGUGUAUACUUACAUAACUGACAUAUGAAAGAUACUAAAAAUGAAAGGAAAAUCUCUGAUUUGAGUUCUAAUGAAAGAUCCCAUGAUACUAUACUAAUGAAUCUAUGGAUUUUCUUCCUUUUAUUGGAAAUAGUCUUUUCCUCACAUAAGCUAUCCUGAGGACAGUUCCCAUGCCCUCUACUUUUAGCUGACCCCCUUCUCUCCACCUUUCCAGACCCACCACCUUUUUGUCUCUCAUUAGAAAGCAAAUAGGCUCUGUGGGAUAAUAACAAAAUAAAAUAUAAUAAAAUGAACCAAUUCCCCCACACCAAAAUUGGAUAAGAUAAACAGUAAGAAAAGAGCUCAAGAAAUAGAGUCUAUUUACAUACUCAAGAAUCACAUAAAACUCUUAAUUGGAAGCUAUUACAUGCAAAGGACCUAUAGGGUAAAG